UACGAAGGGGGCUAGCGUUGUUCGGAUUUACUGGGCGUAAAGCGCACGUAGGCGGGUUGUUAAGUCAGGGGUGAAAUCCUGGAGCUCAACUCCAGAACUGCCUUUGAUACUGGCAACCUAGAGGCUGGAAGAGGUUAGUGGAAUUCCCAGUGUAGAGGUGAAAUUCGUAGAUAUUGGGAAGAACACCAGUGGCGAAGGCGGCUAAACUGGUCCCAGAUCUGGACGCUGAGGUGCGAAAGCGUGGGGAGCAA
rnacentral:rRNA from 1 species